rnacentral:rRNA from 1 species
UACGUAGGGUGCAAGCGUUGUCCGGAAUUAUUGGGCGUAAAGAGCUCGUAGGCGGUUUGUUGCGUCGGCUGUGAAAUCCCGAGGCUCAACCUCGGGUCUGCAGUCGAUACGAGCAAACUAGAGUGUUGCAGGGGAGACUGGAAUUCCUGGUGUAGCGGUGAAAUGCGCAGAUAUCAGGAGGAACACCGGUGGCGAAGGCGGGUCUCUGGGCAACAACUGACGCUGAGGGACGAAAGCUAGGGGAGCAAACGGG